ACUCCUACGGGAGGCAGCAGUGGGGAAUAUUGGACAAUGGGCGAAAGCCUGAUCCAGCAACGCCGCGUGAGGGAUGACGGCCUUCGGGUUGUAAACCUCUUUCAGCAGGGACGAAGCGCAAGUGACGGUACCUGCAGAAGAAGCGCCGGCCAACUACAUGCCAGCAGCCGCGGUAAUA
rnacentral:rRNA from 1 species